UUACUUUUCUUUUGCGUUGACCUUAUAUCUUUUCUUCCUUCUUUUGCCUUUACCUACUCCUUUUCUUUUCUUCCUUAACACAAUCCUAAGACCCCAAUCCAUUUUCGUUCUGAAAAACCAUCAAUCGUCGGUGGGGAUCUAUCGCUGUAGUAGCAAAUGGACCUUGCUAGUGAAAUAACGCCGGAUCGAGACAUAGAGCAGGGCAGCAUCCAGCAAAAGACGACAGAUGUUUGUUUGUAUAAAGAGCCUCCUCCUAAACCACGGGCAAAAGAAUCGAAAAAA